CCUAGGACGGACGUAGUCAGUAUAACUAUUUGUUUAGCACUAUUGAAAUGUACAGCAACAGAAUUCAGAACAAGGGCUGUUCUUAAAGUGUUCUCCCUAUACACCAAGCCAGGACCAUAGGAUAAAUAAAGCGGGCAUAUAAGCAGACAAUGAAAGCUCUUACGAUAUUCGAUAAUUACAUUUCUCUAAAACAGGUUAUAGGCGACAUGUGCACCACCAAGUCAGAACAGUAGGCGAAAUUAAGAGGGGUAAAUAGACCAAAUUAUUAGGGUGAGGCCCAUGGGCUAUUAACGUCUUACUACACAAAAUACACUUCAUAUUACUUUCUUAGCUACAGUAUACAUAUCUCCCUGGCAUAUUACAUCAUUUAUGCAGCAGCAUACAGUACAUUUUUGGACUCACCUUGUUGUGCUGUGCUCACUUGAACAGGAACAAAUUUUGUCAUCAAAGUCUGGCAUUCUCUGGAUUUAUGGUGCUUUAAAAACAACUGAGAACUCUGGAAAAAAAACAAGGUUGAAUCAUGAUGACGUCAUUGACCUUUAGGUCGUAGCACUAGAAAGAGGUCGGAUUUACAAUUCCGAGUUGGAUGACCAUUCAAAACGAGUUAACAGUUGUUUUGAGCGCGGCACAAAUCAUGCUUCAUUGACAGCAUGACCAAUGGUGAACGCUUACAAUUUUGAACUUGUAAAAGAGACUCUUAAUCGCAGAUUUGGGGCCACACAGCCACUCCACUGAAUAGCAGGCUAGUGAUUGCGUUGCAAUGCUAGCAGUUAGCCACUGUCACUGAUUCAUUCUGUUGGGUUAUAUUUUCUUAAACUAGUUGUGGUGCAUAACUUAUGAAUACUAAUGCUAAACAUAAGAGGUUUAUAUUGUAUUAACAUAGAUUGAGCAACAUAUAAUAGACAUGACUAACUGGAGGGUUGCUGGCUAGUAGUGUAGGCUGAGUAGACUCAUGACACACAAUGCCUGGUUGUGGGGCCGCUCAAGGACAGGUGUAUGUGAGGAACUGAUAGAGGGGAGAAUGGCUGUGGCAUAAUAAGAACAGGCACUGUCCUUGGGUGUCUGACUCUCGGGUACACACACGAAGAUAAGCUAGAAGACAACUAUGCUUGGCAACAAAGAUGCGUCUAGAGGCUGGGACCAGCCUGCAUGCCAACGAUAGGCUGGAGUAAGUCUAAACCACACCCAAGCCUCUACUAUGACAGGCCCUCAGGGAGAGGGAACUAAGUCUGUCAAGAAGUAUUUAAAGAAAAACUUGUGAAGUCAUUCCAGUUCUCUGUCUGCCCUGCGUGGUGUUUCAGUGAGCCCGUAUAUACGAACAUCAUAUUUACCAUUCAAGUGUUUGCAUUAUUUAAAGUACAAAGAAAUCGGAAGUUACUCUGUGCUGACUAUUUUGUUCUGAUACCAGAUUCGAAUUGACGCAGACCCAACAAUUGGUGACCCCGACGUGAUCUGGUACUGGAACUUCGCUGAGUAUUGAUCAGCCGAUUGGACAUCGCUGUCGUGGGACGGUGUGUUUCACAAAGAGUCCAGACAACUAAAAACAGGUAAGCAGACGCCUAUUGUUAUAAUAACUGAAGGUCUGCAUAUUGGCUAUAUCCAAAUAAUUUUUUUGAAGCACCUGUUCGAUGUAAGUAAACUAAAUUACGAAUUAUUGUAAUCGUAAUGAAUAUUGAUUUGAGCAAACCUAAGUGUGGUAAAUGUGAGGGUUAAUUCAGACAUGGCCAUGUUGAAAUCCUCAGGCUAGGACCACAGGGUGGGAACUGAGGGUAUAGGGAAAUAAUUGAUUAGAUGGUGUUGCGCUAUUGGCGGCCACGAUCAUAGGAACACCUAAAUUAUAGAAAGUGUAGCGAUGACGACAAGGUCCGUAACUAGUACGGCUAGGAUCGCAGGUGCACUAUAAAGUACACGAUAGUGUUGCGCUCCGACAGAGAGGUGUACUUGGGGGUACACCCCAGAGCGGAGGAGCACUUUAAAGUAUAGGUGGUUGUAUGUAUGAGAGUGUGAAUGAUCCCAGUGAAUGUGAGUGUACAAAAUUGGCAAAUAUAGAAAUUGAAAGUGUAUAACAAAACAACGUGGGAAUAUUAAACUUAUAUAGAGUGUGUUAAUAGAGCCAUAAGAGGGUUGGAGUAGUAUAAGAAAACAGAAAUGGCUACGAAAACUGAUGGGGAGAGGGUGUUAAAAGCAUUGAAAUCCACCCUCAAGAUAAAUGGGGGGGAUAGACGGUAAGGAAUGGAAGAGAAGGGGGAAAAAUUAUAUAGGGAAUGGAUAAAAGUAGGCACCCAACGGACUCCCAGUCGAUGGGGAGCCCGGUAGAAUAUUGGAAACGCUAAAACAAAAAACAGACAAAACCUGUUCCGAGUGGAAGCAGGAGGGGGAAGCGCGUAAAGGCAACUUUAAAGCGCAAGCUAACUCGAGGACGUGCUAUUUGUAAGGGGGGUGAGUGUAACCGCGGUGGUGCGCGCUAAUAGCGUUUCAAUCGGUGAGGUCACUCGCUCUGAGCCCUUGAAGUAUAGUUUUGGUACCUCUGUAAUAAAACAAUUUCAUAUGCUUUGGAAAUUA